rnacentral:lncRNA from 1 species
AUUGGACAUCCAGAGCAGCAUUCUUGUUCUGUCUACGUCUUGAAUUAGAAACUAUCAAGCUCUGUAAGUCCUGAAAAGGAAAUAAAAGCAAUUUCCUGCUGCAGAGAGCAUUUUAAGAAAGGACAGCAUUCCUGUGACCUCUGCCUACCAUCCAUAAAAUACUCAUUCCCCUCUCAGAUAUAAGAAGCUCUGAUACGAAAGCCGGGGGCUCCUGUUGGCUGGAAGGAGGUUUGCAUCUGCCAUCGCCAGCACUUGCGGAGCUGAGCUCUGCCUGCAGUUGAACACAAAGACCUGGAGGAGACUCCCACCUCCUUCAGGGAGAAGAAAGGAGGCAGCGAAGCAGAUUAAAGGAACUUGUGGCUUGUGGCCUUUUUGUGCAAGGGCCGCCUGGAAGGGGAG